GUCAUUUGGUCAUUUGCUAUUUUGAUUUUUUUAAAUGAAAAAAAAAAUCACAAACAUCCCUUGGGGUUACCUUGCUUACGCAGGUAGCUGACAAUUUACGAUAAUUUUUUAAUUUGUCCCUAGAUGGCGCAUGGCGAAUAAGUUUCAGCCAUUGACAGCAGACAGCAUAUUACACGUCAUUUUGUUCUGGACAGAAGAAAGUGACUUUUCUAGAAAUCAUCGUUCGGCUUUAUUUUACGCGAAGCUAUUACAGAAAACUCCAGCCGAUACACAGUUCAAUCAAAAUUCGUAAUAAGGAAGAAGGAGAGAAAAGAAAACUUUAGUGUGACAAGAUGGAAAACGAAAAAAUGUUGGGAGGGUCGAGAAUUUGGAGAUAUAUCACUUCUGAACUUAACACUGAACAGCCUGAAAUUCUCUAAAUUUAUUUCUCAUUGGCCAACAAGCAACAAGGCAACAUCUGAUGAUUCUGAUCUUGCCAUGAACGGAAGAGAACACUUGGUGCAAGAUCAUAAUUUGGUUUACAUUUGAAGAGAAAGUGAGGAGAAAAUACUUCAAGGAUCUCAUUCCUCCAACAAUUAUGGCAGAUUUGUUCCCGGAUUACCCUCGCUGCUGUUCGAUAGACUAUCAAUUGGCGGAAAAUGAAAAGUGGUCGGCCGCGCUGAAAUUCAAGAUAGAUAUAUUAUAUAAAUGUUUGUAAAUUACAAGUGCAUAUCUGGGCUCCCUUCUUCAGUGGCCCCGUUUCCCUAAAUAACCACUAACCAACGCCCGCCGGUGGUCACUCACUCGCUGCGACAACCAGGAGGAAGGGAGAUGUUUGGUCGAACGGGGACUUGCAAGGCGCAUGAUUCGAUGAAAUCUGUUGGAGGGUCAUGAGUCUAAACCGGAAGCCUACUAUGACAUACUGCUCUCAUAAUAACUGCUCCUCAGCUCUCAUCGCUCUUUUUCCGGUUUCUCUUAACCAUGGCCGGGUAUUCUCCCUGGUCGAGUCAGUCGGGCAGUGUCUCCCCCUGCUCGACUGGCAGCAGUUUGGACCAGACGGUCUGUUUAUUGAAUAAACCAUGCACAAAAAAUUA